rnacentral:misc_RNA from 1 species
UCCUCAAUUUUACCAAAAAUAACUUGACUUAAAAUUAGAAUAUAUUCCACUUACCAUCACCACCCGAUUCCAAUAUUUUCAUAAUUCUUGGAUCCAAUUGUAGUUUUAAUUUCCUAAUUUUAAGUUCCAUUUCUUUAGAAUUUUUCUCGAUUCGGUGAUAGAAAGCAAUUGAUUCUGCUGCUUCCUAAAAUAAUGUUUAUGUUUUUAUAUAAACAAAGAU